rnacentral:rRNA from 1 species
UUGAGAUCUAAAUUAUUAACUUGAGUAGUAGUAGUUAUGAUCUUGAAACUUAAAGAAUUUGGCGGUAUCUUAAUCUAUUUAGAGGAAUCUGUCCCGUUAUCGAUAAUCCGCGUUGAACCUUACUUAAUUUAAUUAGUUUGUAUACCGCCGUUUUAUGACAAUCUUUAUAGAGUAAAAUUUUCAUGAGAUAUAAAUUUAUAGAAUUUCAGGUCAAGGUGCAAUUUAUAAUUAAGUGGUGAUGGAUUACAUUAUUUGAAAAUAGAUGAAUUAUAAAUUGAAAAUUUUUUAUGAAGGUGGAUUUAAUAGUAAUAUUUUAUAUACUGUAAAUGUGAUAUUAGCUCUAGGAUGUGU